AUGGCGACCUUGCCGCUACCAUGCUGGGCACCGACGCCGAGCCCAUCACAGCCGCGGUGGGGUUCUUCAGCUGCCGCCCUCACAGGGAAGGUAGAGCAGCCGGAACCACCGGCCGCCGAGGUGGGAGGCGCCGUAGGUAGCCGCCGCGGAAUUCAUUCUGGGUUUGAUAGCAUUGAUCAUCGUGAUGGCCGCCUGGAGCACAUCCCUCGCGAUGGUGGCGUGUCCAUAACGUGGGAGGACGUGUGGGUGACGGCGGCGGACGGCGGGGCCACCAUUCUGCACGGCGUCAGCGGCAGCGCGAGACCCGGCCAAGUGCUGGCCAUCAUGGGACCCUCCGGGUGUGGCAAGACCACACUGCUCGACACCUUGGCCGGGAGACUGGACACGGACCUGAGAAGUAAAGGAGAUAUUCGGAUCAAUGGCCGGAGACAGAGGCUCGCCUUCGGAACCUCUGCGUAUGUGACGCAAGAGGAUGUGCUGAUGGCCACACUCACGGUGCGUGAAGCCAUUUACUACUCAGCACAGAUCCAACUGCCCGAUACCAUGCUGCUUUCUGAUAAGCUGGCCCGUGCUGAUGAAGCCAUCCAGGAGGGGCUCACCAGCGCGCUGGAGACGCGCAUGGGCGGGCGCACAACUAAGGGCAUCAGCGGCGGGCAGCGGAAGCGUCUGAGCAUCUGCCUUGAGAUCCUCACCCGGCCCCGGCUGCUAUUCCUGGACGAGCCUACCAGCGGGCUAGACAGCGCUGCCUCCUUCCAUGUGAUGAACCGCAUCGCCGACCUUGCCGCCAGGGAGUCCAUGACCACCGUCGCCGUAGUGCACCAGCCAUGCAGCGAGGUGUUCGAGAUCUUUCAUGGCCUCUGCUUGCUCGCCUGUGGACAGACCAUUUACUUUGGCCCAGCCACUAAUGCCAUCGAGUUCUUCACAUCAAAUGGCUACCCUUGCCCACCAAUGAGAAAUGUUGCAGAUCAUUUCUUGCGGACAAUAAACAGAGAUUUUGAAGAAAGUGGAGUAAUAACAAUAUCGUCCAAGCCAUCUCCAGCAGAUGAAGCAAUAGAUGUUUUGGUAAAUGCCUACAAAUCCUCCAAUACUUUUGAAAAUGCCAAAAAGGAAAUGCACGACAUAAAUGAAAUGGGCGGAGUGAUCAUCAGAAGAAACCAAGCCAGUUUCCUGACAAAGGUAUUUGUACUCACCAGAAGAUCGUUUGUGAACAUGUACAGAGAUGUCGGAUACUACUGGCUACGACUUGGCAUCUAUAUCUCAAUUGGUGUAUGCCUUGGUACCAUAUAUUACAAUUUUGGCUAUGGAUACGAUUCUAUUCGUUCUAGAUCAUCAAUGCUAAUGUUCACCGGUAGCCUUCUAACAUUCAUGGCAAUUGGAGGAUUCCCUUCCUUUGUGGAGGAAAUGAAGAUAUUCACGAGAGAGCGGCUAAAUGGCCAUUAUGGUGUGUCAGUAUUUGUGAUCUCCAAUUGGUUGUCAGCCACACCAUAUCUUGUCCUUCUUGCUUUAUUACCUGGUGCAAUAGCCUACUACCUGUCUGGUCUAAGGAGAAGAGUAGACCAGUUUGCAUAUUUUACGCUUGUGCUUUGUUCGUGCACAAUGCUAGUUGAAGGCCUUAUGAUGACCAUAGCUGCUAUCGUGCCAGAUUUUUUGAUGGGCAUCAUCACAGGUGCUGGAAUACAAGCUAUCAUGAUGCUCAACUCUGGGUUCUUCCAAAUACCUAGUAAACUGCCAAAGAUAGUAUGGAAGUACCCGAUGUUCUACAUCUCUUUCCACAAGUAUGCUCUUCAGGGAUUUUACAAGAAUGAAUUCAUGGGUUUGGUGCUCCAAAACAACCCAGGAGUUGGUGAGAAAACAAUAACUGGUGAACAAGUGAUAACUAAGUUAUUUGAGACAGAAAUGGGGCACUCAAAAUGGGUGGACUUUGCAGUGUUAUGUGGUAUGAUUGUAAUAUAUAGGUUGCUCUUUGUAGUGAUUAUUAAGGUUGUCGACAUGCUGAAGCCGAUAUCCAAGGGUGAAUCAUUUGGUUCUCCCACUAGAUGUAUUUGUGGCAUACAAAAGCCAUGUACCCGCUCUUAA
rnacentral:rRNA from 1 species